GUCAGGGUGGCCGAGUGGUCUAAGGCGCCAGACUCAAGAAAUGGAGGUGUGGGUUCAAAUCCCACUCCUGACA